rnacentral:rRNA from 1 species
UACCAGCACCCCGAGUGGUCGGGACGAUUAUUGGGCCUAAAGCAUCCGUAGCCGGUUCUACAAGUCUUCCGUUAAAUCCACCUGCUUAACAGAUGGGCUGCGGAGGAUACUAUAGAGCUAGGAGGCGGGAGAGGCAAGCGGUACUUAGUGGGUAGGGGUAAAAUCCGUUGACCCAUUGAAGACCACCAGUGGCGAAGGCGGCUUGCCAGAACGCGCUCGACGGUGAGGGAUGAAAGCUGGGGGAGCAAACCGG